rnacentral:rRNA from 1 species
UACAGAGGGUGCGAGCGUUGUCCGGAAUCACUGGGCGUAAAGGGCGCGUAGGUGGCGAUCCAAGUCCAUGGUGAAAGCUCGAUGCUCAACAUCGAGUCGGCCACGGAUACUGGGGUUGCUUGAGCACUGUAGGGGCAGAUGGAAUUCCGGGUGUAGCGGUGGAAUGCGUAGAGAUCCGGAAGAACACCGGUGGCGAAGGCGGGUCUCUGGGCCGAUACUGACGCUGAGGAGCGAAAGCGUGGGGAGCGAACAGG